rnacentral:lncRNA from 1 species
UGUAUGAUUGGCAUGAGUGAUGCUCAUGAAUGUUUAUGCAUGAUUGACAUGAGUGAUGCUCAUGUAUAAUUUUGGAGUACUGGACGUACUUUUGAUCACCUGGUUGGUCAUAAUAGCGGCAGAUUGCCGAAUAAUUUUGGAGUACUGGACGUACUUUUGAUCACCUAGUUGGUGAUAAUAGCGGCAGACUGCCGAAUAAUUUUUGAGUACUGGACGUACUUUUGAUCACCUGGUUGGUGAUAAUAGAGGGUGAACUUUAAGUGGAGGGAUAGAGGUUGGAGUUUGAAUUGCUUUCGGUGCACCUGGCACCAUCAUUACUUCCUCUUUUCUUUUUUAUUCCACUCUUCCUCUUUUCCUUUUUUUUUUAUUUAUUUAUUUUCUUUCUUGCUUUUUUUUUAUUUUUAUUUAUUUUUUGUAAUUGCUUUCGGUGCACCUGGCACCAUCAUUACUUCCUCUUUUCUUUUUUAUUCCACUAUAUUUCCUGCAACUUUCAGAGCGUCAAGGUUGGCAGAGCCCAUCUGUACAAUUGAAGGGAAUUUGAGCUUUUGCUUUUGCUUUUACUUUCUCUUUUCCACCGCACCUCUCUCUGUCUCUCCACCUCCAGACAUAUCACCUGCAGACUUGCUUUUGCUUUUUCUUUUUUCUGAACAUGCAUAAGCAUCACUCAUGUCAACAUUUGGCGCUAUCUGUGAGAAUCGACACGAAAAGCUAUGUCGGUUCUCUCUCAAUUUUUCAUACCUCCACCGUGGACCACGAUACAUCUUGUGUUCUUUACUUUCUUGCAGAUUCACGGUCGGAUUUACGUUGUUCCAAGACCCUUCGGUUUUGUGCAUCAACAUUUGGCGCUGUCUGUGAAUCGACACGAAAAACUAUGUUGGUUCUCUCUCAAUUUUUCAUACCUCCACCGUGAAUCUGCAGAAACCCAACACCCACACACAGAGACACCCAUUCAAUCUAUAGAGAGAAAGAGAAACUCAGGUGCAUCUCUGUUGAAUCAGCUGACCAAUAGUCUCCAAUUCCACAAGCAAAUCACAGAGAGACAACACAACCAAUUGGGCAUUGACCUCCAACUGAUCUCAGCCAUCCAUCAGAUCUGAGACUCUGAUCCCUUCCAAACAACUCAACAUCUAGUUCUCCAGAUUGCCCAUUUAUCGGUUUCUGUUACUCUCAUUUUUGGGUUGUUUAUGGACACUGGAUAGCUUAAAGUUGGGUCGGAGGCAAAAAAGAUGAGGGAAGGAGCGAGGUUUCAGCUAGGGACAAUGGGAGCGUUGACCUUCUCUGUGGUCUCGUCGGUUUCCAUUGUCAUUUGCAACAAGGCCUUUAUUAGUUCUUUGGGUUUCACUUUUGAUCGAGCUCUCUCUAUCGAUCACGACAACAACGCAGGGAGUUUACAUCAACAGAAGAUCCAACGGUUUUGAGUGAGCAGAGAAAAACAGAGAGAAAGCGCUCGUUGAAGAACGAUGGUGACGUCAUCUUAGAAGAAAACGCUCCACUCGCUCGGCCGAACAGGGGACGUUGAAGCCUGGCGGUGAAUUUGGUCUCCGACAACACCGCAACUAGAAGGCCAUUCGUCAGACCUCUUCGUCGACGCUGAAAAACGACAGGAAGAACAUCAGUAUCCCGGAAUCCAUUAAAAUCAAACGUAUGGCAGUUUUUUCUGCCUUAAAUCACUUCAUUUGUGCUCUACCUGACCGUGCUUUUCGGGGCACCGAAACGCCAAUCAUCUCGUCGAUGACCUUCAACGCCGUGAGCGGUCUGAAAUGCUUGUUGCUAUUAAGAUUAUGAAUCGGCAAGAAACUCUUCCGGUGAUUUAUCAUAGAAGAUGACAGAGAUGCCGUUGACGACUGGUGGUUCGGCGGAAGCAUCCGAAUCGAAGACCCACCGCCGCCGACUCCACUUUCACCUCCGUCUUCGUCUUUGUCCUCAUCUUUGUCGUUCACACUCUCCUCCGAACUAUCAUCGUGGCUGUCUUCUCUAUUGCUUCUGUGCAUUAACCUUUCGCCUCUCCGCCUCUUGCUUCGGUGUUGAUUACAUGAAAGCUGAAAGAGAUAUUCUCACUAAGUUGUCGCUGUUAAGAAAAAAGAAAAAGCAAAAGCAAGUCUGCAGGUGAUAUGUCUGGAGGUGGAGAGACAGAGAGAGGUGCGGUGGAAAAGAGAAAGUAAAAGCAAAAGCAAAAGCUCAAAUUCCCUUCAAUUGUGCAGAUGGGCUCUGCCAACCUUGACGCUUUGAAAGUUGCAGGAAAUAGAGUGGAAUCAAAAAGAAAAGAGGAAGUAAUGAUGGUGCCAGGUGCGACGAAAGCAAUUACAAAAAAAAAAAAAAAAAAAAAAAAAGAGCAAGAAAGAAAAAAAAAUAAAUAAAAAAAAAAAAAAAAAAGGAAAAGAGGAAGAGUGGAAUCAAAAAGAAAAGAGGAAGUAAUGAUGGUGCCAGGUGCACCGAAAGCAAUUCAAACUCUAACCUCCAUCCCUCCACUUAAAGUUCACCCUCUAUUAUCACCAACCAGGUGAUCAAAAGUACAUCUAGUACUCAAAAAUUAUUCGGCAGGCUGCCGCUAUUAUCACCAACCAGGUGAUCAAAAGUACGUCCAGUACUCCAAAUUAUUCGGCAGCCUGCCGCUAUUAUCAUCAAUCAGGUGAUCAAAAGUACGUUCAGUACUCCAAAAUUAUACAUGAGCAUCACUCAUGUCAAUCAUGUAUAAACAUUUAUGAGCAUCACUCAUGUCAAUCAUACAUAUACAUUCAUGAACAUCACUCAUGUCAACAUUCAUGAGCAUCACUCAUGUCAAUCAACAUAAACAUUCAUGAGCAUCACUCAUGUCAAUCAGCUUCGAAAGCUUCAUUAACAGAGCUCCAGCUUCAAAGCUUCAUUUACAAAAGCUCCAGCUUCAAAACUUCACUUUCAAAGCUUCACCUACAAAGCUUCAGUGCAUGGUAUACAAAGACCGCCUCCGAACAACCGCCACUUCGGCCCAUACAUGGAUUGAAUUUGAAGUCUUCAGCCAACAGCCUCUAUUGACUGAAGACUUGGGGGACUACAUUAUGUACCAUAUAUUAGGGCUUCCGCAACUGGGCCUCAUGAAAAAUAUUUGGGGGACUUAGCCCAUUAUUUAUGUAUUGAGGAGCGAACUCUUAUUCUAUAAAAAGGGUUCCUCACUUUCAUUAGAGAGCAUCCAUCACUUAUGUAUUGAAGAGCGAGCCCUUAUUUUAUAAAAGGGACUCCCUCACCAUCAUUAGAGAGCAUCAUCACCUGCUGAGCAACCGUCUCGCCACGAGCAUCACUCUUAGCCCAUCACUUAUGUAUUGAGGAGCGAGCCCUUAUUCUAUAAAAGGGACUCCCUCACUUUCAUUAGAGAGCACCCAUCACUUAUGCAUUGAAGAACGAGCCCUUAUUUUAUAAAAGGGACUCCCUCACCAUCAUUAGAGAGCAUCGCCGCCUGCUGAGCAACCGCCUCGCCACGAGCAUCACUCUUAGCCCAUCACUUAUGUAUUGAGGAGCGAGCCCUUAUUCUAUAAAAGGGACUCCCUCACCAUCAUUAGAGAGCAUCGUCGUCAGCUGAGCAACCGCCUCGCCGCGAGCAUCACUCUUAGCCCAUCACUUAUGUAUUGAGGAGCGAGCCCUUAUUCUAUAAAAGGGACUCCCUCACCAUCAUUAGAGAGCAUUGCCGCCUGCUGAGCAACCGCUUCGCCGCGAGCAUCACUCCUAACCCAUCACUUAUGUAUUGAGGAGCGAACCCUUAUUCUAUAAAAGGGGCUCCCUCACCAUCAUUAAAGAGCAUCGCCGCCUGCUGAGCAACCGCCUCGCUGCGAGCAUCAACUCUAGCCCAUCGUUUAUGUAUUGACGAGCGAGCCCUUACUCUAUAAAAGGGACUCCCUCACCUUCAACGCCACAAGCCGAGCCAACCAAGGCAACAUAAGCCACAAACCGAGCAGCCUCGCAACAUAUGCUACUUCUAGUUGAGCAUCAUUUCACAGUGAACACCGCCUCAUAUCGAGUAUCAGUUCUAGACGACAUCUAGUUACUUCGGCCCACACAUGGACUGAAUUUCAAGUCUCCAGCCAAAAGACUCUCUUGACUGAAGACUUGGGGGACUAUUGUUAGUACCAUAUUAUAUUGGGCCUCGUUACUUGGGCUUCCAGACAUUGAGCCCAUGAUCUAUGUAAAAGGGGAAGAGCCCUUAGUCUAUAAAAGGGACUCCUCACCCUCACAAUCCGGGGGCUUCACAUCCCCAAACAGAGGCUUUCACAUUCAGAGCAAAGGUCUCUCAAACUCUCUCUUUCUCUGGGGGACUCCCCCUCACACUUGUAAUCCAUACAUACAGUUACAGAGAAAUACAAUCAACAUCAGUGUGGACGUAGCCCAAACAUUGGGGUGAACCACGAUUCAUCUUGUGUUCUUUACUUUCUUGCAGAUUCACGGUCGGAUUUAAGUUGUUCCAAGACCCUCCGGUUUUGUGCAUCAACAUAUAUAUAUAUAUAUAUAUAUAAAUAUAUUAUUUUGUUAUCCUCUGUUGAAGUUCUUGUCUGAUUUCUGGCAUUGUGAAUUAAUUUAAAACGAAUCAAAUUUGUAUGCAAUUUGGUGGCUUUCUUGUCAUGUCGCUGUCUGUUUGAUUUUGAGAAAUCUCCUGCUGCCCUUAGGUGAACAAUGCUGGUUUGCUUGAGCAUAAUAGAGUUACCACAUCAGAGGGGUGUGUUCUCGAUUACCUCUAUACACAGUUUUGUUUAGAUAUUCUAUCCUUUUUCUCUAUAUAAAAUUUUAAGUCUUUUUCUUUCAAAUGCCAGGUUUGAGUUGAACUUUGCUGUGAAUGUAUUAGGCACCUAUGCCAUGACGGAAUUGAUGUUGCCAUUGCUGGAGAAAGCUACACCUGAUGCCCGGGUUAUUACUGUUUCCUCUGGUGGAAUGUACACUACACCAUUGACCAAGGAUUUACAGGUAAUUGCUUCUAUGAAAUUCUGUUCGUAACGUUACACUCGAUUUGUCCAAUGCUCAUCAAGUUCCAAAAUAUAUGUCUAAUGCAGUUUAGUGAUGGGAACUUUAAUGGCGUGGAACAAUAUGGUCGAAACAAGAGAGUUCAGGUUUGAUCCCUUUAAGAGAUAAUAUAUUUGCAUUAUUUUAGUGAUUUUUUAUCCUCUUUAUGAUAUGUUUCAGAAGAUGCCAAAAAGGAUGAUCUGAAUACUGUGAUUCGAUUAUUUCUACUGAAUUUAAGCGGAGGAAAACUAAUGCAUUCAACUGAGCAAGUUCUUAAAACUUCUAUUUGCACAAAAAUUUCUGAUACAUAUGCCACAUAACAUGAAUCAGAAUGCAGUGUACUCUGAACCUUAGCCUUGAGUUCUCUUCCAACAUAUUAGACGGAGUUAUUAUAACAAAUGGUAGUUCUUGGUUUUGGUAGCAAUGAUUUCGUUUGAAUUUGGUAGUUACGUCUUAAAUUGAGGAAAUUUACUGACAUUCCUUCUGGUUUCUCCUAAGAAGUUUCAGUGCUAGUAAUUUGGUAGAUUCACAGUUGACACUAUCAUGGAAUGUUGUUAACACUAAGAAAUACCAGAUGAUAGUAUUGAUUAUGUUUGUAUAUAAUCUACAAUUACGAAGUACUUUUACUCAGAAAAUGAUAAAAGUAAGGGAAAGGAAACAACUGCCUUUCUUUUUUUUAUCCCCGGGAUAUGAUAUUUGGGCUUAGGGGUACACUACUAGGUUCCCAGAUAAGUAUAAGUGCUUAAUUAACAGAAGUUUAUGUGUGGAUGUGAGCUGUUGGUCAGUUCGAGUAAGAACUUUUUCAGCUAUUUCUGGAGCUAACAUUGUUCUUAUUCAGGUGGCGUUAACAGAGAAAUGGGCUGAUAUAAACAAAAACAAGGGGAUUGGAUUCUACUCAAUGCACCCAGGUUGGGCUGAGACACCGGGGGUUGCCAAGAGUUUGCCAAGUUUCUCUAAAGCGUACGAAAUCUUUAACAUUUUCCAUCUCUUAUUUGUAUCUGCGAUCUAUUUUCUUCUGCUUUAUAUCUAAUCUUCCAUUUUUCUUCUAAAUUUGUUUUAGGCUAUCGGGAAAGCUUAGAACGAACGAGCAAGGUGCAGACACCGUAAUUUGGUUGGCUUUACAGCCUAAAGAAAAACUUGUAUCGGGAGCAUUUUAUUUCGAUAGAGCAGAAGCACCUAAACACCUUUUGUUUGCAGCAACAAGCCGGUCUCAUACUGAAAUCGACUCCAUUUAUGACACUCUAAGUAGCUUAUCUAGGACCUCCGCAUAAGGUUAAUUCGAAAAACACAUACUGUGAAGUCUUGCUGCAAACUUUCAUUGGGUAAAUUUAUUAACCAGGGGAUGGAAAGGAUCAGACUUUGCCUUUCAUAUGGGGCUUUAUACAGGCAAUAAAAUACGUUUUAGUGUCCCUUUAGUGCCCCGUUAUUGUUUGUUUAGUGAAAAACUGUAUUUUUAUUGAAGAUUUGUAAAAGGUUGUAUUUAUGUAUAUUUCUGAUUUUUGUUUAUGUAGAACUGCAGAAUUUAUUUUCUGAAUUCUGAUUAAAUAUACUGAAUAUAUGAUUGUAGUCCUUGAAAUUCAAUUUUCUCUCAAUAAAAUUCAACAUAAUUUUUUUUUUUCUGACUAAAUAUAUUGGUGGCGUGUUUAUGAACUUGUAAUCGGAAUUAAAAUACUGAAUUGGAUUCUGACCUUCGUUUACUAAACUUGAGUGAAUAAAAAGAAAGGUGGGACCCACACAAAAUAUGGAUUUCAAAUUUUCAUUUUGAAUGAAUUUGACUCCUUAAUUGGAGGUGGUAAUUCAAUUUCGAAGAUAUAGAAGAAUCAGAAUUAAUUGUUCUUAUCCGUUAUGCCCUUAGAUAUUUACUAUAAUUUCACUUUUGCCGGCCACCACCAUCCACUGCUAGCAAAAGGACCUGUGUUGUGUUUCUUGAAUUUCAUGUUUCUUUAAUAAUCAUAGGGUUAGCCAAUAUAAAUCUACAGGUUCGUACUCCGGGGUUUGAACUUUGUUUGAUGUUGAUCUGGGCUCUACGGAAGCAUAGAAAUGAUGUACUAUGGAACGGCUCUUUGUUACCACCGCACGAGAUUGUGCUUAGAACCGAGGGUUGGAUGCAGGAAUAUCACAAAUGGCACAAGCCAGCAGCAAAGCGGUCUAUUCGAAAGGUUCAGAAGUGGCGGAAACCUGAGGAGGGUUGGAUCAAGUGUAACUUUGACGGGGCCUGGAGUCAAAGCGGGCUCCGGGGAGGUUUUGGGGUUGUGAUUCGUAACCACUUGGGGGAGUUUAUUACCGCUGUUGUUGGCUAAGAGUCAAUGUCCGGCGGAGGUGAAGGUUAACUUUGAAGGAGAUGCUAGUUUUGUGUUGGCCGCCAUGAAGGGGCAAGGGGAUGACUGCUUAGCUUUUGGUCCCAUAAGACCAUCUCCAACCCUUGGGCUAAAAGCCAAAUUUUUUAGCCCGAAAAAUUUAGCUUUUAGCCCAGAAACAUCUUUUCUGCUCCAACCCUUCUACCCUAAAAUUUUAGCUCGGAAUUAUUAAAGAAUGAAAUUAGCCUAAAUUUUUUUCUUAAAUCAAUUUAAAAAAAAAAUAUAUGUAGAUUAUUGUAAAUUAAUUUUAUGAACAUUUUAAUCUAAAAAAAUUUAAAUUCCGAUAAACAUUUCGCAUUUAGCCCAGGGGGAAAGCUGGAGGUAUUUGGCCCAGAAAUAGCAUUUGGCAUUUAGCCUAAAAUUUUAGCAUGGGUUGAAGAGUGUUUGGGGGGUAAUUUGGCUUUUAGCCCAGGAUUGGAGAUGGUCUAAUAAAUUAUUUGAGGUGUUUCCUUGUGGGUUGGGCGACUUUGUCGAUCAGUCAUAUAUCCAGCGGGAAGGUAACUUGGCAGCGCAUCGACUUGCUUGUAUAGGGAUUAGUAGUGCUCAUGAAGUAUUGUGAUUCGAGGAGCUUCCAGAUUUGAUCCAAGAUAUUCCCAUUGGGGAGGGAUUGUAAUUUCCAUUUCUAUUGUUCAUUUGAGGAUAGGUCUAUUGAUGUGCGGGAUGCUCUUUUCCUUCAAUCGGGUUGAAAUUCCCGGCAAGAUUUUUAUUGAGGCUCAUUAUGCACACUAUUCUUAGUUUGUACGUAUUCUAAGUUGUUUAAUGAAUAUCGUAACUUUGCUUCAAAAUAAUAAUAAUAAUAAUAAUCAUAGGGAUUAAGAAAACAACAAAUAAUUAAUGCUUAUAGGGUAAUUACUAUUAAGGUUUUAUUAUGUUCCAAAUAAUAUUACUAACGACAUUAAUUUGAAGUUAUCCAAUUAUUUGGCAUAUAAAUAUGUUAUUUAGAAUAAGAGUAUUUUAGUAAUCAUAUUUAUUUCUAUUCUGAUUCAGGUGAAUUAUUAAACAACUUAUAUGGACUCAAUUUUAUUCUUAAGUAAACAAUUUUAAUAAGAAUAUAAUUCUGACUCCUUAUUUCAACUUCUCCUGAAUUAAAUUUUUCUUAUUUUAAUUAUGGAUACGUAAUUUGUUUAAUUUCUUGUGGGGUUUUGUAUCUCAAUAAUUGUACAGAGCAUUAGUCACCCCAUGCUAAUAAAGACUUUUUAGUGCUAUCACACCAAACCUUCCCCACCCUGAGUUGAGUUCCCAUCAAAAGGCGACAAGUAAUAAGUAUCAACGCUUGAAAAGACAUCCAAAAAAGUUAAAGCAACCAAAUGUAAUUAUGUAAUCUUCAAAGCAAUAAUAGAUUAGAUCUAAAAGGCCUUUCAGAGUAGUUUGAGUGAGCAUAAUAACUGUAUAUAGGAAUCGGUAACUUGAGUUUAAUAUGCAUAACACUACUGCUACACUAAUGUUAGUUCAAUAUGUUGAUACCACGUUCAUGAGUACAUAUGAGUUCUAUAUAUUAGUAUCACAGUCAAAUUUAUAGCUCAUGAGUGAUUCCUAUAUGAGUUCAAUAUAUUAGUAUCACAUUCUUUCUUUUUUUUGGCCUACUAUGAAAGACUAGUUCUACUUUAAACUACACUAAAAAGAGAGAAUUUGAACUCGUAGCGUAUUAUGUUGAGCUUUGAGGGCCGGAGUAGUGUAGCCACGCACCAAAUUUCGAACCCGACGUUUUGCAAUGUUUCAAUUAUUAACAUGUACAUCAAAGAAAGGAAAACAAUCAGACUGAACAGUGCAUGACAACAACACUGCAGAAAAACAAGCAAGUACGAAACCACUACUUUCCGAAGAUGGCUAAGUUUUAGUGAAUGCCAUCUUCAUAAGAACAUAUGUUUAGUUAGUUUCCACUCAGUUCGAAAAGGGUUGAGAAUCGACGACAGAAUGAGUUGGCAUAGAACACCCCGUUACCAUACACAAUACAGCUCAUAAGGGCACUCAAACAACUCUUAGUCAACAAGUACUUGUACAAGAACUUAACAAACGAAGAAGAAACUGUCAGUCGUCAAUGCCAUUUACAACUACAUUUCGUAUUUAUUUCUCACACACCUUUUCUUUUCUGUUUUUGGUACAAAACUCUCACACGUCUUUAUUUGUAUAACUAUUUCACAUUUACGACAAUAUUUAUGAAGUAACAUCACAAGCACAAAGGAGAUGGUCUUCAGCAUACUAUAAAAUCCUUGUUGGUUGUGUAAUUACAGGGAGUCACCUGAAGAACCCAACAAUGCCGGCUUUCUCAACCAGUACUGCUGAAACCUCUGCCUCGCAUACUCCGUGUAGUCAAAAUCAAUUUUGUUCACAUGACCCUGGAAACCAGCAGAACAUGUAAAUAUGUUAUAAACACAAAGAGGCAGUCAACUCACACAAACACGCACAAGCUAUUGCGAAUAACAGUGUAAGGAAAAGUACAAAUGAUUUACCGAAAUUAUUCCCCAUAAGCCCCAAAAGAGAUGGUUGGCCAAAGUGUACUUCUCUGCUAUUUCAACUAGCUGCUCCACCUCAGCAUCACUGGGUUCGCAACCUGUAAGGAAUAUUGGAGACGAAGCGUGUUGAGGAUCACCAACGCUUUCAAAUUAAACAUGAGCAAACUUUGCUCAAUUAUUUUUCGGUCAAUAAUGCUAAACGUCAAACAUGAAUAAUCUGAGCACUAACAUGCAUACAAACCAAUAACCAUGCCCAGAUCUUGCAGAAAUCUUCCUUACACAAACCUUGAAAACCAACGAGCAUUGUUCGUUUAAACAGUUAAAUGUAGGAACAACCAAUAUCCGUUUACCCAGAUACAUGCAUAUCACAAAAUCAACAGAGGGAUCAGAAAAUGAAUAUGCUAACCUGCAGAGCUCAGAUAUGCACGGACAAAUCUCUGGCGCUCCUCCAGACCUGAUUCAACAGAAUCGAGAAAACCAAAAUAUUUAAUUUUGUAAUGAAUUAAAAAUACCAAAUAAUUAUUUCCAUGUUUUCAACUUGAUUGAAUUCUCAAGGUUAAAGCAGGAGAAAAUGCAAUGAAGGACAAAUCACAAACAGAUUAACAGUUACCUGGAUAAUUCCUGUAGUCCAAAACGUGAGGUGUCUCAGAGUGGUAGUUUGCUACCAUUUCACAGAAAUGAUUUGCAAGGUCAUAAGCGACAGGAUUGUAACUGGCAUAUUCAUAAUCCUGGAAACAUAACAAAAUCAUAUCAUUAAUCAUAAUAUAUCAUCGCAACACAGGUUUAUAACAUUGCUUUACAUACAUUUUUUAGCAAGAACAUAACAGGGAAUCCAACUACUGAUAACUUGAUCAUGCUCGGUGAAUAUAAUAUGAAUGUGAUGCUAGACAAUUCGCAUUAAGUUUUACAUGCAAGCAAGGAAUGCCAAGAAAGUUUAUUCUCAGAGAUUGCUUCAUGAGUUACAUUCAGAAUAACUACUACUUAGAACUCUCUGUCAUUUACUUAGUCAGCAUCCCAAAUCCAUGUACCCCUGAUUCCUCAAACAGGCUAAAGCUAGUAAGAACGCAUUUUCUUGAUUACAUCGACAACAUGAUUCAAAUCGAAAAAUGAUGGAUUUAUUGUUAAAAUAGACUCGGACUAUGUUUUCUACUACUCAACAAGUUGACACCAUUAACUAAGAAAAUGUUUUCUACUACUCAAGAAGUUGACACCGUUAAGUUAGUAAGAAAAACUAAUCUACUGUCCAUGUCAAAACGAUUAAAUUCAGGUUGUAGAAACUGAAGUGUUCGACUUCAGUAACAAUCCUAGGUCACAAGUGGAAUCGCGUGGAAGGAAAGAAAAGUAGUAAAGAAAGUGCAAUAUUUUUAAAACCAGCGAGACAGUUAAUGACAAUGAAACGGUUUCGUUGAAACCAAGUAAAGAACUCACAAUUAAAGUGAUUAAUCUGGUCUCUUCAUCCAUCAUUAUGUUACCGUACUGCAGGUCAUUGUGACAGAACCCAAUUUCUUGAUAGUCCUGUGACAGUUCUUUCUCUAACAUACUAAUUUCCUCUUCCAAAGUAUCCAAGCCGAAUUCCUGUAUGUCUUUGAUCGAACACAAGUUUUUUGCCUCAUUGAGCCAGUUCCUGGGGAAAAUACGUAAACUGCAUAAAAAUUCACGAAUACUCAAAAGGGAAGCUUUAGCUUUUCAAAAUAUAAAAUUACCUCAUUCUAUCCCAAAGGACUACAUUUCUCGGACCAGUCAUAUCCAAAUUGUGGAACUCUCUCAGCUUAGCUGCUAUAAUAGCAGAUAUUUCGGGAUCACGGAGGUCAGCAGCUGAUAGCGUCUGAGAAUUGAAAAACACAAUAGCUUAUGGAUAUGAUAAAAAAUCUUCUGCAACAGGUUAUAUGAAGAGAUUACACUGAACCUCAAACAUGCCUUUGUACAAUUUUGGUAUGAUAGAGGAUCAAAUCCCGAAGCAAAUCAGUCCGUCCUUUUUGAUGUUAGAUCAUUUAAGUCCAAUUUAAAUUAGAUGAUACAUAAGUUGUCCAGCUGAAACAAUCGUAAUUGCAAGGUAGAACCGGAGAAAAUCUAUUACAUCUUUAUCACCUAUCUUGAUCCUAAAGAUUGAUUGCCUCACAUGUUCUUUUAAUUUUUUUCGCUUAACUAUAAGAUUCUGCAAAUAGGCUGUUCAAUUUUAUCCAAAUAGUUCGGUAAAUAUAACACUCAAAACUUAUGCCUACGUGUCAGGGUUUCAAUAGUCUAUGAUUUCUGGUGUAACGAGUUUAGGCUUUUCCAGUCGUAUCACAAUCUUAUCAAAAACUGACUAAUCGAAAAUGACAUGAAGUGAUUAACGGCUUCUUCCCUUCACAACAAUAUAAGACAUCAGAUACCCUUAUCAUACACAAAAAGCUAAAGUAAGCUAAAGUACCACUUUAAAAGAUUGAUCAAGAUUACAGUGACAUACGGCCAGACCCUGUAUGCUCUUUGCACUAGUCAAUUCAGUCCUAAAGUGCAGAUUGGACCUUAUUCUUCUUUUUAUUGUUUACAACCACAAUAUAAAGUCAUCAUGCCACUAACUUUGAAACAUUAAACUAAGGAAAAGUAGUGACAAUUAUAGAGGAUUUAGUGAAAGUAUUCCAAAGACAUCAUUAGUUAAAGACUUGGUUAAAGUAACUCGUACUUAAAAAAAAAGAGAAGAUAAUAUGAACUGGUAAACAUAGCAAACAUACUCUAGCAUGAAUGAACUCCUCAACCCGUCCCUCUGCAAAUCGCCCAAGAAGACGCGGCCCCUGGCCGUGCUUGGACAUGCACUCGAACGUCUGAAUUUCAUUCUCCCGAUUAAAAAACACUUCAACUCCCUCACCGUAAACCCGAACCAGAACUUUCCGGAAAAGGUCACCAUUGUUCCUCGUAGGCCAACUUAUUUGAUAGACCUCAUUAGUCAUUGCCCCUUUCAAUGGGGUGACCUGCAAGGCAUUCAAAUCAUCCACUACAUCCCCCCAUUCAGAAGCUACAGAUAAAAGUACCUUCUUUAAUUCCUCUGGAAGACAACCUUUAACUAGACCGAGUGUCUUGAUGGCCAUUUUUUAUCAAUUAUCAAUUCAAACAGAGGUUCACCUGCAUAUCAAAGUGUUCCAUUAGCUUCUCUCUAAUCGAAUUCUGGCACCCUAAUCCUAUUUUGUUCCUGAAAUCUAAUCAAGGUGCUUAAUUGGGUUCAAACAACAGCUUAAUUGCUAUAAUCUAAUCAUAUCGAGAUCUCGACGAUUUCAGAAGAUUAGUCAUCACAGCUGAUGGAAUUAAAAAACUGCUCAGCAAGAAACAAAGAAACAUACCCACAUGAAACGAACAGUAAAAUUCAAGGAGAAAAAAAGCUCAAAUCUUUGAUAGAAAUAUCUAACUGAAAUGCCCUAUUAACUUCAGCACUUGGAAGAUAACACAACCCAAAAUGAUUAAAAGAACAAAAAACAUAUGAAAUAUACAGAACCCAAAUGAAAGAUAAACAAAAAAGCAUUAAGAGAUUGAGAAACAGAAGAAGUCACCUAAGGAAGAAGAGUUCAAGAAAGAUGCAGGUUAAUUUGAUAUGCCAAACUGCAGAUCCUUUUUAUAUCAAUGUGUAAACAAUCACUAAAAAGUCAAAACGUAAAUACAUAAAAUACUUGAAAUAAUGAACAGAGUCUCCCUUGGCCCAAAAGAGGGGAAUCAAAUCAAUAAAAGAACAAAACCCAGAAUCCUUUUAAGCCUAUUAUAUAUGAGGGUGGGAUUGUGGGAUCAGAGAAAAUAAUAUUUUUUUAGAAAAAAAGUCCAAAAACUGACUUUUCUCUUCGUUUCUGUGGCAAAAGCAAAAGCAGAGUACCAAAAUACAAAGGGUUUUUCGGGUCUGUAAUAUUGACUGAAUCUUGCUACAGAUUCUGAGCCGGAAUUAAUACCCAACUCGGAUUGACCAGAUUCUAAAUUCUGAAUACGCGUAGACGGUGAAUGCUUUUGUUUGUUUUUAUCUUUUUCUUUGUGUGUUGGUUCCGUUCUUCUUGUUUACUGGGUCAAAGGAGUGAAUGUCAAAGAAAACGAAGUCACAGACUUUUGAUUUAUGCACGUACGAAUUAUUACGCACGGAACAACGAGGAAAUGUGGUGCCUGCGGGGCCCAGUUAUGGAAAAUAGCUCGCCAAAUGAGGACUUCUCUUUCGCUAGAGACUAGAACCUCGUUUGGCAGCUCGGACUGUACUGACUAUUUCAGUCGGAUAGGAUAAAUAGCCACCGGAUAGUACUGACUAAAUUAGUCGGGCGUUUGGUGCAGUAUCGGACUAACGAUCGUAUUAUUUAUACUGUGUUUGGUACUAUACCGAAUAAGAAGAAUUCAAAGUAUUAUUACUCUUCAGUCUUCCCCAGAUCUCUCCGCCGCACUGUCCCCUAGCAGCCUCAGUCUCUAUCUCCUUACAAUUGUUGGCCUAAAGAGGCAUUGAAAUGCAUCGUCAAGCAGAUCUUCCCCCUCUGUACAUUUGAAACUAAUCCAAAAAAUACCCCGAAACUAAGGAAAUUAAAUCACAAUCAGAAAACAAAAAAAGGGGAAACAUGCAAAAUCGUAAAACCCAGAUGAAAUCUUUUCGAAUUUUCGAAUCCUAUCAUCGAUUCCAAGUCAAGGUUCUAAAACCCAAAUGAAAUCUUUCUGAAUUUGUGAGGUGGUGGUGCGAUUGGUCUCUCUGUGGGCGUCUGAAUUAAACAAAAAAAAUGGCAACGGGGAGAACAGAGUUGGGGAGAUCAGCGUCGGCUGAGGAGGACGGAGCCAAUGAGAGGAGACCGGGAGAACAAAGCUGGCCAGGGGAGACGGCAAGAACAUAGCCAGCCAAAGGAGACGGGGAGAAUGUAGUCGGUGAGAGAAUGAGACGGCGAUGGAAGCGAGAGAGAAAGCCCAGUUCGCGCGAGAGAGAAAGGACCCGACUAAAUUAUACACUCCUUUUGGACGGGUUUAUUAAGAGGGCAUACACCGUAUAAAAUAAGAGCAUCGGAUUAAAUUAGUCCGGUCCAAUUUAAUACGAGAGCGCGUCAAACACCCGACUCCGUAUUAAUAAUCCUAUCCGAUGCUAUAUACGACGUACCAAACGAGGCCGAGUUUCUGUUUUUUAUCCUCCUCUUCUUUCCGCUGAAAAGGGCAUCCAUGUAAUUUAGUAGAUUUUGAUUUCGAAUAUUUUCAUAUCUUAGAAAGAGAAUAGAAUUGAAUAUUGACUUUAGUAUGCACACUUUUUUUUUUCUUUUGACGGAUUUGAAAAUUUUAAUAAGAUUUUAUCCAAGGCCUAUCUAAAACACUGUAUUAUUUCCGUAUGAAACGUGAAUAACGUACGUCUUUAAUUAUAUAUAGACUUAAUUAUAUAUAGAGUACAUUUAUCAUAUUUUUGAUAGGAUCAGAACUACAAGCACAUGUGAAUUCUAUCUUUAUUCAUGAGACAAUACAAAUGUAAUAUAAAAAAUAUAAUAAAGUAGUCAUUUCUUAUAUAUAUAUAUCUUAUUCCAUACUAUAUUAUAUGACAGAUAUUUAAGAGCCGUUUGGCAUCCCACUAGUAUUUUCUUUUCAUUUUUAAAAAUAUUUUCUAAACCAACUUCUUUAAGAACAGUUUCUUAUAAGACCCAAAAACUUGUUUUGUAUGAAAUUUAAAAUUAUUUAAAUCUUAGCUAACUUUCCUACUCUUUUGGUGUAGAUUUAUCAUUUGUUCAAAAAAAAUCUUAACAACUAAAGAAAUAAGAGACGGAGAGAAAGGACCGAAAGAAAGGGAGAGAGAAGAGAACAGAGAGAUAUGAGAGAGAAAGCUGAGGCCUGAGGAAAGGAUCAGAAAAGAGUGAGGAGGGAGAAAAUUCAGAACAUAUAGAACUAGAGAGGAGAGCCUAGGAAAGGAUCGGAACAAAGAGGACAAAAAAGAAGAGAAGAGGGAGAGAGAAAAAUAAGAAGAGAUAGGACGCGAGAGGGACGAGUUAAAAAUAGGAAGAGAUUAGAUAGAAAUAGACGAGGAGGGAGAUUAGUUUAAAACUGACUUUUGUGUUUUUAAAAAAUAAGUUAAUUUUUUAAGUUGGUUUUGAUUUCACUUUUUAAAAUAGUCUUACUAAACAAGAAUAUUGACUUAAGAUCCAAAAAUUAUUUUUGAGUUAAAAAAUUGGGAUGAAUCAAAAUCCUAAGUUUUUUAACAAUGAUGUGUUAUCAAUCAAAUUUAUAUUUUAAUUCAAGUUAAAAUUUAAUUUAUCAUUGUGAUUAAAAUUAUUACAGUGUAAAAUUGUCUAAUCAUAUAAUGAGUCACAUCACUGUGCACGUCCUAGUGUAUAUGGACAUUAGUCCUAGUGUAUAUAGACAUUCUUUUAAAGUGAGACUCUUUAUGGAUUAAUUUACAUGCUAACAUUAUAAAAUAUUAUGCCGAAAACAUAAUUUGACAAAGAGUUUAUGAAGAGUCCUAAUUUUGAGUAGGGAUGACAAUUCUAACUGUUAAACCCGAUAACUAUGGAUAAGCGUCCGAAUGGAUUGGUAUUGGGUAUGAAAAUUCAGGUAUAUUUUGGAUAUGAGGAAAAACUGUGAAUCAUAUUCGGUUAUGAUUUUGGAUAUGGUUAUAGAGAUCCCCAAUCCGUAUCCGUCCUUGAAUCCGAACCGAAUUAUAUAUAAUAUAAUUGUGUUAUAGAUAUAUAUAUAUAUAUAUAUAUAUAUAUAUAUAUAUAUAUAUAUUAUUCACUAAAUCUAUUACCCUAAGAAUAAAAAAGUUGCAUUGUGUGAGUUGCAUUUUGUGGACAAUUUAGAAAGUUUUGAUAUGAAUCAAAAUCUAUGAGAAUCCAGACCAAUAAUACUUAUGGGAGAUAUCAAAGAUCAGCCCACAUUAUCAAAGUUUAGCCUUAAUUUUUAUGCUCCACAAGAUCCAUUCAUUAAAUUAUUUUAUACGUCAAAUAUUUAAUGAUGAAAUUAAUAUUUACUAAAUUAUCAAGCGUCAAUUGAACGAAUAUAUUUUUUGAAUUGACAAAGAUAGGUAUAACUGUUAACUGAUGGAGAAUCCGUCACCGGUGAGUAUGGUUAUAUAUAAUACCCGAUGGUUAAUUGGCAGUUAUGGAUAUGGUUAAUUUUCGUCCCCAAAACGAACCGUUGCCAUCCCUAAUUUUGAGAUAGUCUCCUUAGCAUUUCUCAUACAACAUUAUAUUUAAGGGCCAAAAUCUAUUAAACAAGUUUAAAUUUCUCUGGUGCAAGUGCAAUAAGGUAAUCAUAGUGAGCAGUCAUUGGUGGAUACUACCAAGGCAUACUGUUACAUUAUAUGAAAUUAAUGCAGAACUUUCUCCGUAGUUAUUACAUGUAUCAUAAAUGACACACCUCGACCAGAAUCAAGGUGUGCUGACCAUCAUGUGAAGGUGACGUAACCGUAAGUGCACGUGAUACAAGGAAAUUGUGAAUAAAUUAAAACCGAAAUUAGAACUUAAUUAAACUAAUUCAGUGAGUGCGCAGUAAUGGUUACAACCCAUAACUACAAAUAUUCAGAGCAUAGAUAAAGAAGUCGAACGAGAGAAGUACUCAUUACACAACUAGAGAUAAGUUCCUACGUUAAGAUGAGGAUAUGUCAAAAUCACCAGCUAUUCCUCGUACGCCACAUAGAUAAAUCAGCUAAUUAUGACCUGAAGGGGCGAAAAACAGAAGGGUGAAUGAGCACAAAAAUAAAGGUUUAUAAAAUCCAUUUACUUUUCAAUCAUACUAACCCCUCGCUGUAAAACAAGCAUAGUUUCUAGAAAAUCAUACUACGUAAAAGUAUGAAAAUCAAAUGCAUGCCAAAUGAAAUUCUAGAAGUAUGCCACAACAGAUAUUCUCAACAACAAUAUAGAUAUGAUAAUGUGUUGUAAUCUAUACUAACAUGUCAGUCGGAGUUACCUAAUAUGACCUGUACGAUUGCACCAAUCGCUCAUCCGUCUAUGCUAACACAUCGAGUCAAAACUGCCUAAUGCAGUCUGUACACAAGCUAGGUGUAAUAAUAACGCUCUAAUGUUACGAUCACGUGAAGCUUGCACUAAGCGCAGUCACCAUCUAGCCGGAACCACCUAUUGUGGUAUGUACAACAAGCUAACACCUACUUGAAUCCAAAGUGAGAGUGCGGUGCUGGGGGGUGAACAUACACGUGAAAGCUAGCCUGGCCUUGGGUUGAGCACUCACUUGGGGUGUAGCAAUGAUGAGCAGACUAUAGAUAUGCAUGCCAAUAAGUCUCAAUUAGUCAAUCAAUCACACAGCCUUACCUGAACUUACCUGCGCGUCUCAUGAUCACCUUAGCAUUUCAAUACAUAUAUCACAAUAAUAUGCAGGUAAAAUGCAUAUAAGUAUGCCAGGAUGAUAAUUAAAUUUCUACUUUAGUAAAUCAUUUGUAAAAAUAUAAGUAUCAUGGCAUAACAUGCAUAAUUCAUUUAAAAUGAUUAUGGAAACUAUAGUGUAUAUAUGUAAAUGUACGAAAACAAAAUGCCUACUCACUGGUAAGUCGUAGGAUUGUAACCUCCUAACCUUGCGUGCCCACGUAUGUCCUUGGGGUAAGUCUCCCCUAUAUGUGGAAUUACUAAAUAAAUUAGGUUAAUAACACAUAUACAGAAACUUAAAUAAAACCCCCAUAGUUUGUUCAAACCUAGGGUUUAAAUAUACGAAAAUAAUCUACUCGACGCCAUGGACCUACACAAAUUUUCAGAAAUAUUUUUGGACAUCGAACGUGCCCUCACAUGUUUGCUAAGGCACGGCCAGACGCGCCACCAUGCGUGGCCAGAACCCUGAUGUCCGUCAGGAAUAUUCCGUUAACUUUAACUAACGGAACAUUAUGUCAGUUUAGGGAGUUGCGUGGAUGCUUCCACGACCUUCAAAACUUGGUAACUCGACCGCAAUCACGUUGACACAAAAACCACCGAGUCGGAGCUUCCGAGUCAAUGGGUCAAAAAACUUAUCAAAUUGAAAAACGGUUGGCAUGGUUGUGAUCGUGAGGUCGAGAGGAUCACGAUGGUGGUAUUUUCAAGGUCAAUCUGUGAAGAUUGGUAAAGGUCCUUGUUCUUGUAGAGAGAAGACAGCUUGGUGAGGAAGAGAGAGAAGGGGGAGAAAAAGAGUGACUUUUCCGAUUGGUAGAGAGAGAGGGAGGAAAGCUGAUUGGGUGAGAGAUGUGUGGGAUAAAGUUGAUUGGUGACAAGGUGUAAGGCACGAAUCUGGGUUUUAAAGAAGUAAAAUGAUAGGCUUUUACAGAUUUCCCAUAGUAAAAGCAAAUCAGAAAUCUAUCCAAAAUAGUGUUUUUAAUACUGAUAAAAUUAACGUACGCUCGUAACAACAAGUACAAAUUAAUUACGAUAGCGAGAAUAAUAAUUUAAGAGCGAAUAAAUACAUCCACGUCACUUGCCAACAAGGGCAUAAAAGGUAAUUUACAUAUUCGGGGAGAAAUUACAUAAGAAAUUAGAGAUGGGUCGUCACAAUAAAAAUAUAAUUUUUUAAUUGUAAUUAGUUUCAAAUUUCUACCUAAAUAAGGAUUUAUAUCACUCUACGUAUAUUGUAAUAUUUUACUCACAUCAAUACAGAAAGUUUAAAUUACAUUGAUAUAAUCAUGCAAUAAUUACAAAAAUAAUUUCAGAUUAAUUUCAUGUAAUAUAACAUAUACUUAUAUAUCUAUAAUAUCCACCAUAAUGAUAUGGUAUGGACUACCAUAUCCCUUUUCACGUGAUUGCAAAUGCAGUGCAACCGGGUUGAACAACCCCUUUUUUUAUUUUUUUAUUUAUCAUUAUUAACGGGAUGAGAAAGUGUCAAAACUAUUACAAUAACAUAGAAGAUGGAGAGUUUUGAACCGAAUACACAUUCAACACUUUAUUCAUUAAAAUAUUAGACCACAUGCAAUGGGUUGAGGACUUAGAUAGGAGUGAUCUCGCGUCACAUGUAUGAUCUUCUCAUCCCAUUCAUUAGUUUUGAGAAAUUUAACUUUGUAUGACACAUCAAAUCUCUCUUCGAUCUUGGAUUUGGAUUUGGAACCUGUAAAACAUGUUAUUUGUAUUAACCCGAUUAUUAUUAAUUGCUCGACGUCAAUAAAAGCACCCUUAAUUAUAUCAAUUUUAUUUACUCAAAAUUAAGCGUAUUACAACCUGUAAAACGUGAGUCAAUGUUAGGGGAAAAAAAGGAAUGCAAAUAUUGUAAAUACUAGGAGUCCUUUAUUAGGUAGGAUAUUGUUUAUGUCCUUUAUUAUUUUCCUUAUGGAAUACGGAUUGUAUGUGUAUAUAUUUCAAAAAAGUAAUACCAUGAGAAUUACCCCGUAAAAUUCUAUUGGGCAUCAGAACAAGGAUGUCGUAACCCUAGAAAACUGUAUAUUCCGCUGCUUCUUUCGGUUGACUGGUUCUUGCGUUGUUUGUUGUAUUGGUCAGGCCAUGUACCCUGUGAUUUCAGCACGCUGUCUUGCUGCUGCCUUGUGGUUCUUGAUUGCAGCGCAGUAUUUUGAUGCUGCCGUGAGUCUUUAUUGCAUAACUGUGCAUGCUGUGUUUUUCCCCUUCUUCACUGUAGGUUGAGAUGGAAAAUAUAAGGGAUGACUCAACCUUGAAGUUGGAAGGUGGUUCCUGCACACCAACCAACAAUCCGGUACUGAGUCCCGUUGUUAUUCAGAACAAUGCGUCUGUCGUACUGAACACCAUGAAGUUGAAUGGAUCAAAUUAUUCUAUUUGGUCCAAGGUAUUGGAGAUGCACAUUGCUGGACGUGGUAGAAAGGGCUUUGUGACAAGGAGUACCAAAGAAUCUGCUGAGGAUAGUGCUGAGUAUGAGAUGUGGGAGACAGGGAAUACAAUAGUAAAAGGGUGGUUGAUCAAUUCCAUGGAACCUGCUAUCAUGAGAUUUUUUUAUUCACCUGUGUACUGCUAAAGAAGUUUGGGAAGAGGUGGCUCAAACAUAUUAUGAUGGUUCAGAUAUUUCUCAAAUUUAUGAAUUGAAGGUUAAGUCGUUCAGGCUUCGUCAAGAGGGCCGACUGGUUGGUGUGUAUUACGCUGACCUCAAGUCCAUUUGGCAGGAGCUAGAUCAAUGAAGACCAAUCAAAAUGGAAUGUGAUAUCGAUCUCAAGACAAUUCGAGAAGAAAUUCAAAAUAAUCGUGCGUAUGCUUUUUUGGCGGUUUUGGAUGCCAUCUUUGAUAAAGUACGUAGUGAUAUUCUACGUACUUAACCCUUACCAUCUGUUGAGGAGGUGUUUUCUGUUGUUAGGCGUGAAGCACAACGACAUACCACUAUGAUGGGUGAGAGUAACAACUAAGGGGGGCUGCCAUCCAUGGCCAUAAUCUCUCGGCCACCUGCAACUUUUCGUCCUAACAAUUCUUCUAAUCAAUCUUUCAAUUCUCGUCCAUUUACCCGAGAAAAUAAAGAUGAUUUGAAGUGUACUUUAUGUGGUCAAACCCGUCAUACUGAAGAUACACGUUUCGCCAAGCAUGGGGUGCCUGAUUGGUUCCCAGAAUUUAAGAAAAAAUUGCGUGCCAAUGAACGUGGAGCAGUAGGAUCUGGUGGAGGUCGUGCCUCCCUUCAGCGGCCACACUAACAGCCCAGGAGGCCGAGCCUAGCUCUAGUGAUUUUAGUCAAACUUUGUUGACUCGCACUCAGGGUGACUAGUAUUCCAACACAGGUAUUAUGGGGCGUGGUCUUUUAGCAUAUGAAACUAAGCAACAUACAGGUGGAUUCUGGACUCUAGUGUAACAGAUCAUAUGACCUAUGAUAAAAAUAUGUUUCAAUACAUGACUACAUCUCACAAGAAAAACAUAGCAACUGCCAAUGGUACCCUGGCACCUGUGUGUGGCGCGGGCACCGUGCAUCUCACCACAUCUUUCCCUUUACAUUGUUGCUUACUUGUUCCUUCUUUAUCCCAUCAUUUAUUAUCCAUACCACAGAUUACUAAACAAUUGGUUGUUCUAAUGUAUCUGUCCUUUUGUCUACUUCAGGAUAUUUAGACCAAGGAGAUAAUUGGGUGUGGCACUAAGAGAGAGGGGUUGUACUAUGUGGAUGACGUCGUUCCUGGCAGACCUAAUGCAAUUCGAGCGUCUCGUUCUAGUAAUUUACAAGAAGUGUGGUUAUUGCAUCGUCGGUUAGGGCAUGCAUCUUUUGGGUAUUUACGGCAUUUGUUACCUAGUCUAUUUAGUGAAAUAAAUGAAUCAAACUUACAUUGUGAAGUAUGUAUUCUUGCUAAAAGCCAUUGUGCUUCGUUUCCUCCUAGUAUGAAUAAAAGAGCUUUACCGUUUGAACUUGUGCGCUCUGAUGUUUAGGGGCAUUCUCCCGUUAUUACUUCUUCUGGGAUUAAGUGGUUUGUUACGUUUGUUGAUGAUUGCACUCGUAUGACUUGGCUAUAUGUGUUGAAAAAUAAAAGUGAUGUUGGUAUGGUAUUUAGAUCUUUUUUCUCGGAUGAUUCAGACACAAUACUCAUUUGUGAUUAAAGUUCUACGUUCCGAUAAUGGGGGGUGAGUAUAUUAAUUUUGAGUUGUCGGAGUUUCUUCAUGAUCGAGGCAUUCUCCAUGAAACGACCUGUCCUCAUACCUUGCAGCAAAAUGGGGUUGCAGAGAGGAAAAAUUGCCAUAUCUUAGAAACGGCACAUGCUCUACUUCUUGGAGCAUCUGUUCCUAAGGUGUUUUGGCCUGAAGUUGUCACUUAUGCAAUCUAUGUGAUUAAUUGUAUGCCAUCUUGGGUUGUUGAAUUUUGAAACACUUCUCCAAGUCUUCACUUAACAUGCUCAAGUAGUGUCUACUAAUACUCUCACUCCUCGGGUAUUUGGGUGUGUGGCUUAUGUGCAUAUUCAGAAAAUUCAUCGCACUAAGGUGGAUUUGUGUGCCCUACGUUGUGUAUUUGUAGGUUUCUCAUCUCACCAAAAAGGAUAUAAAUGUUAUCACCCUGAAACUCGGCAUAUGUAUGUUACCAUGGAUGUAACCUUUUCUGAAUCAGAGUAUUUUUAUGCUCCGGUAUCUUCAUCUUUAGAUCACCAAAAGCAGAGCUCUAGUGGUGAUCUGGAAUGGUUGGACCUAGGGGGAGACAUUAUUGUAGAGACCGCACCUGCCAGUGGAGAAGUAAGUGCCGAGAAGGAUGUAGAAUUAUAGGUAGCUUCUGCCGAAGCAGGAGAUGCUAUUCAGAAAGUUUCUACCGAGCCUUAUGAGGUGGCUCAGUUGGUUUCUAUUGUGCAUAAUAGGGCUCAGGAGCCUACACCUGUCGAAGUAUCAUCAAAGCAGCCAUUGCAGCCACUUGCUGAAUCUGCUGAUGUGCCCCCCUCUCUCUAGCUCCACAGUGCAGCCCAAUACGUAUUCUCUGGAUAUGCUUGAGGUUAGUAUUGUGGAUGAUUAUGUAACUAAUGCAUGUAAUGAUGUAAGUACAUAUAAGUUGCAAUCGAGACAAAAUCGAGGUGUGCCACCUAACAGGUUCUCUCCGGAAGGGAAAGUGAAGUAUCCAAUAACCAAUUAUGUCUUAUGCAAUGGUCUUGCACCAGAGCGCUGAACUUUGGUGGACAAUAUGGAGUAUGUUCAAGUACCAACCCGUGUGGAGGAAGCUCUAAAGGAUCCAAAGUGGGCAAAAACAAUGGAUGAGGAAAUGUUGGCGUUACAGAAGAAUAAUACCUGUGAGGUCAUGCCUUUACCAAAAGGAAAAAAAAUAGUUGGAUGCCGAUGAGUGUUUACGAUCAAAUACAAAGUCGAUGAAUCAAUAGACAGGUACAAAGCAAGGUUGGUAGCUAAAGGAUACACCCAAACAUAUGGUGUAGAUUACCAGGAAACUUUCUCUUCGAUUGCCAAGAUGAAUACGGUACAUGUUAUGAUUUCUUUAGCUGCAAAUAUGGACUGGCCAUUAAAACAGUUUGAUGUGAAAAAUGUUUUUCUUCAUGGGAACUUGGAGGAAGAAGUAUAUAUGAAUUUUCCUCCUGGGUAUAGUGCUGGUAGAAAUAUCAUAGUAUGUCGGUUGCGUAAGUCUCUAUGUGGACUUAAGCAAUCGCCUUGUGCAUGGUUCGAUAGGUUUACUCAAGUUAUGAAAAAGAUUGGGUAUCAUCAGAGUCAUUCUGAUCGCACAUUGUUUGUUAAACGAAGACAGGGAAAAGUGACAGCCUUAAUCAUCUAUGUAGAUGACAUGAUUAUCACUGGAGAUGAUUUCGAUGAGAUUUCAAAGUUACAGGGUAAUCUUGCAGCCGAGUUUGAAAUAAAGAACCUAGGAGAUUUGAAGUUUUUUCUUAGGGUUGAAGUUGCUAGCUCUCCGAAAGGUAUCUUUUUGUCCCAACGUAAGUAUGUUCUGGAUUUGUUAAAAGAAAUUGGUAUGUUAGGGUGUAAGUUGGUAGACACUCAUAUUGUUGAAAACAUCAUCUAUGUUUGGAUUCGAAUAAGAAAUCAGUUGAUAAAGGGAGAUAUCAGAGACUUGUAGGAAGACUAAUUUAUUUGGCUCACACACGUCCGGAUAUCGCCUAUGUUGUGAGUGUAGUGAGUCAGUUUAUGCAUUCAUCGAGUGUAGAUCGUAUGGCUGCUGUUAUGCGUAUCCUAGCAUAUUUGAAGUCUGCGCCAGGAAAAUGAGUUCUAUAUGGGAAGCACGGACAUUUGAGGGUUAAGGGGUUCACAUAUGUUGAUUGGGCAAGAAAUGUAAGUGAUAGAUGAUCUACUUUUGGGUAUUUUAUUUUUUUAGGAGGAAAUUUGGUUACAUGGCGAAGUAAGCAACAUAAGGUGGUAUCGAGAUCCUCAGUUGAGGCCGAGUAUAGAGGCAUGGCCCACGACAUUUGUGAAAUUCUUUGGCUUCGAAAACGUCUUUGGGGUCUUGAGUUCAAACCAAAGGAGACCAUGAGACUAUAUUGUGAUAAUAAGUCAGUGAGAGAUAUAGCUGAUAAUCCGGUGCAGCAUGAUAGGACAAAACAUGUGGAGGUUGAUCGAUAUUUUAUUAAAGAGAAGCUUGAGAAGAAGAUUGUGUCAAUACCUUUUGUGAAUUCGGAGGAGCAACUUGCAGAUAUUCUCACUCAUGCAGUGUGUAGUCGAAAGUUUGAUGACUCACUUGUCAAUUUGGGCAUGUGUGAAAUCUAUGCACCAACUUGAGGAGGAGUGUAAAACAUGAGUCAAUGUUAGGGAAAAAAAGGAAUGUAAAUAAUGUAAAUACUAGGAGUCCUUUCUUAGGUAGGAUAUUGUUUUUGUCCUUAAUUAUUUGUUUCCUUAUGGAAUAAGGAUUGUAUAUGUAUAUAUUUUAAAGAAGUAAUACAAUGAAAAUUACCGCGUAAAAUUCUAUUCAACUUGCUGAUCGUAAGGCACAAUUUUCAUAAAAUCUAGAUAUAGUAGACAAUAAAAAUUGUGCGAAAUGAUUGAUCAGUUUCUAAUCUUAUAGAUUUUUCGAGUGGUUGAACAAAUUCGGAUGCAAAACUUACACCUAGACGUGCAAUGUGUUCCCGAUGUCAAUGACAAAACUUGCACCUAACGUUAGCUUUGAUAAGACCCUCCAUAGCGGUGUUUGCAUAAUCAACUGGUAUAACUUCGACGUUUGCUGUUAUAUUGUGCUUAGUUGCAAAAUCAAUCAUCUUUGGGUCUCCUUCAUUCCUCCAACGACACUACUAUGUAACUUGUUUUCAUUAAUCAAGUUGAAAGUAAUUGGUACAAAGAGAGACUUAUACAAAUACAUGGAUCAAUCAAGAUCCUGAAAUUAAGGCCUAUACAAGCUAUUACGUGAGUUAGACUCAUAAGUAGAUGAAAAGCAAUCUGAGAUGACUGUAUAGUAAUCCAGGAAAUGGACUCCUUAAAUCAAGGGACUGAUGACAGACUUUGGUUUACUCAACACUACCAGCUAUCAUCUUUCUCCCUAAAAGUACAAAAAAAAAAUGUUAAUACUAAUAUUCCAUUGAUGCAAAUGUACAGCUGAUUAAAUGUAAAGGGAACUUACUUCAACACACCCACUUUCUCCACACGCACUUAGUUAGACAAGACAUUUAGUUUUAAACAAUCUUAACUUCUUUUAUCUAAACCCAAUUAAGGUUACAAGUUAGUGAAUUCAUCUGCUUACCCAUCAGCAAAGGAAAAACUGGUAGCUGAAGAGGCUUAUCUGGUGCUCCAAGCAAAACAAGCUUUCCAUGAGACUUCAAUAAUCCAACCAAAGGCAAAAGAGGGUGGACUGCAGAAACAGUGUCAAGGAUGCCAUCCAUUGUGCCCAUGGCACCCUACACAAUCAAAAUAAACACAUCUGUAUGUCACAGUGCUCACAAGUACGAUUAAGAUGUAAACUUAAUAAACCUUAUUUUUCAAAUAAUCACCUGCAUUUGGCCUUCCUCGCGGCUGACCAAAAAGGAAUCUGCACCAAGGUUUUCAAUAGCAUCAUCUUUCUUAGUCGGGGAGGUAUUGAUCACUGUGACCUUAACCCCCAUAGCCUUUGCAAACUUCACGGCAACGUGACCGAUACCACCUACACCAACCACACCCACAUGCAUACCGGGUUUAUCAAGUCCGAAAUACCUCAAGGGGCUGUAAGUUGUAACCCCAGCACAUAGGAGAGGAGCAGCGCCAUCAAGAGGUAGGUUGUCUGGAAUACGGACUACGAAAUGCUUGGCCACCAUGAUGUCAGAGUAACCUCCAUAUUGUUAAUGUAUACAGAAAUCCUGAUCUGCAAUGAAUACUCAAACAAGAAAAGGAGAAGAAAGAAGAGUUCUAGAGAGAGAAUGAAUGUUUAGAGAAAGAAACUUUUGUAUUGAUCUGAAUUAAAGAUUACAGUAAUGCCAUAUCAUCUUAUAUAGUUUGCACGAUUUACAUCAGUAACUAUAUCAGUUAGUUAUAACACCUCUAACCAACAUAACCACCAAUAGUCUAUUAGCUAAGCUGAUGUGGCAUUGCCAGCUGUUACUACUGUCAACAUCCCCCCUCAAUCUAAGCUUGGGGUGCCAAGCUUCAGAUUGUAGCAAUGUCUGAUAAAUGCAGGACUGUGAAGACCCUUUGUUAGAACAUCGACAGUUUGCUCAUCAGUAGGAACAUAGGCCACGGCAAGAUCGCCUUUUUGUACCCUCUCCCUUACAAAAUGAUAAUCGGUAUCCAAGUGUUUGAUUCUGGAGUGAAACACUGGAUUCAAACUUAAUGCAAUAGCUGACAUGUUAUCACAAUUAAUAACAGGUGGUUGAAGUAAAACACACUUCAAAUCCCUCAAAAUGUGCCUAACCCAAGCUAGAUCAGCAGCGGUAUGAGCAAGGGCUUUGUAUUCAGCUUCUGUAGAACUUCUGGAUACUGAAGUUUGUUUCUUUGAUUGCCACGAAAUAGGAUUGUCUCCAAGAAAAACAAUAUAUCCAGUUACUGAUCUUCUGGUAUUAAGAUCCGCAGCCCAAUCAGAAUCAGAGAAAGCCGUGAUAUGCAUCUGUGAUUGUGAAGAAUAGAUUAUGCCAUGUUGCAUCGUACCAUGAAGGUAUCGAAGAAUCCGUUUUACAGCACCAAAAUGAACUUCAGUUGGUGAAUGCAUGUGUUGACAAACUGUAUUCACAGCAAACGUAAUAUCCGGUCUAGUAAACGUAAGAUACUGCAAGGAACCAACAAUGCUUUUGUAUGAACUAGGAUCUGAAAGUAACCCUUCUUCUGUCAUCAUCAUUUGAUUAUGUGGUUUACAUGGUGUAUUAGCAGGCUUGCAAGAAUCCAUACCUGUCUUAUGAAGUAAAUCCUUUAUGUAUUUCGACUGAUUUACAAAAAUAUCUCCAUUUGGUUUAUAUUGAAUCUGUAAACCAAGGAAAUAUGUCAGCUUCCCCAAAUCCUUCAAGUCAAACACAGAGGAGAGUUCUUGAACUACGAGUUGUACUUUAGUCACACAUGAUCCAGUCAAUAUUAUAUCAUCAACAUAUAGCAAUAGUAUGAUGAUAUCAUUGUUAUCAGUUUUGAUGAACAAACUGGUAUCAGAUACUGAUGCAGUAAACCCCAUUGUCACCAAGUAGCUUGUAAAUUUUGAAUUCCAAGCCCUUGGGGCUUGUUUGAGUCCAUAUAGUGACUUGAGGAGUUUGCAUACAUAAUCGGGAUGACUUGAAUCAACAAACCCUUGUGGCUGUUUCAUAUAAACUUCUUCUUGUAACUCACCAUGCAGAAAUGCAUUCUUGACAUCAAGUUGUUUCAAUUCCCAUUUAUUCAUUGCAGCCAAAGCAAGAAUGAGUUUUACAGUUGUAUGUCUCACAACUGGACUAAAAGUAUCUGAAUAAUCUACACCAUGCUCUUGAGACAACCCUUGAGCAACUAGUCUUGCUUUAUACCUUGACACAGUACCAUCAGGAUUUCUUUUCACCUUAUACACCCAUUCGCUUCCUAUUAUUGAUCUGUGAUCUGGUGCAGGUACUAAAUUCCAAGUACCUUGAAUUCGAAGUGAAUCAUACUCCUCUUGCAUUGCAUGUUGCCAAUGUGAAAUAGAUGCUGCUUGUCUAAAGCAUGUAGGUUCUAAUGAAUCUGCAAUCUCUGAAAUAAAGGAGAAACCUCCCACAAAAGGAUCAUCAUUUGUUAUCUGCAAAGUGUUUAACUCUGGAAACGUUGCAGUUAAGGCUGCAUAAUUUUUCCUUAGGAUGGCACCAGACUUCAACCUUGUCACCAUUGAAUGUUCAUUUCUAUUCUGUGCUUGAAUAUCAUGUGAUACAAUUGCUUGAGAAAUUGGUAACCUUGAAUCUGGUGGACUUGAGACGUGAUGGUGAGAAGAUGAAACCGGAUUAUCAGAAUGCGGACUGACUGCAGACUCUGAAGAUUGAGACACUACCAUAUCAGAAUUUCCUGAAGCUACUGGAUCUGAGCCUUGAAAAUGUGAAAUGACUUCUAUAGCUUGUGCAGAUCCUCUAUCUUGAUGCACUGGAGAUGGAGUAAUCGUAUCCCUUGGUAAUUGAAUCGCAAUAGGCCUUGAAUUCUGGAAAGAUGAAGAACUAGACUGUGAUAUCUUUGACACUUGUAUAUUCCGAUAAGGAAAUAUCUCUUCAUCAUGUACAACAUGUCUAGAAAGAAUUAAUUUCCCUGAACCAAUGUUAUAACAUACUACUCCCUUAUAUCCCAUCAUAUAUCCUAGAAAUACACAUUGAGUUGUUCUUGGUUCAAGUUUAUUUGCAUUAUAAGGCCUCAUGAAUGGAUACACUGCAGACCCAAAAAUCUUCAAAGUUUGAACAUCAGGUUCUUGUCCAAUUAACACCUGAUAUGGUGAUUUCAUAUGCAAUAUUCUACAUGGCAUUCUGUUUAUUAGAAAUGCAGCAUGUGAACAGGCAUGAAACCAAAAUUGAGCUGGUAACUUUGCUUCUGUCAUGAGUGUUACUGCAGUCUCAACCACAUGUCUGUGUUUCCUCUCAGCAAGUCCAUUUUGCUGAGGGGUAUAAGGACAUGAAAUCAUGUGUUUUAUACCCUUUGUAUCCAAAAAAUCAACAAACAUUCUACUUGUAUACUCUCCCCCUCCAUCAGAUUGUAAACACUUAAGUGAAUCACUAAAUUGAGUUUGUAUAAAAGCACAGAACUUAACAAAUAUGGAAAACACUUCAGACUUGUUAUUCAUUGGAAAAAUCCACAAAAAUCGUGAAUAUUCAUCUACAAAGCUCACAUAGUAUCUAUAACCUUGUACAGACACCUUUGGAGAUGACCCCCAUACAUCAGUGUGAACUUUCUCAAACAAACAUGUAGCAGUAUUUUGUCUUACUGGAAACGACUGUCUUCUCAUUUUACCACUCAUACAAGAAGAACAUAUGGACUCACAACUAUCUACUUUGACACUAUUAUUAAACUUCUUUUGCAUUACAGCAAGCACCUCCUCUGACGGAUGUCCUAACAGCUUAUGCCACCUCGACACUUGAAUCUUCUUUCCAAUAAAGCUAGCACAGUGCUCCAACUUUGCAGAAAAAGACUGUGCAAAGACAUUAACUGGAAUUGAAAACAGCUCCCCAUCAUCACUUGUCCCUGUGUACAGUAUCUUCCUUGUUGCCUUGUCCUGUAUGAAGAAGACAACAUCAUCACAUAUAAACCAACAUCCAUUAUCUCUGCAUAACUUCUUAACAGAAAGUAAAUUCACAGUGAUUUUAGGUACACAGAGCACAUUUCUUAACAUCAAAGAUUGUUUAGAAAGAGGAAUGCUUGUGGAACCAAUAUGUGUUACUUUCAAUCCUGUACCAUUCCCAAUUGUAAUAGUUCCAUCACCAGUAUAAGGAAUAACAUGAUUAAGAUGAUGUAAAUUUGCAGUCAUGUGAUGAGUUGCACCUGAAUCCAAUAUCCAGUUUUCUUCAGCAGUAAAACCAACACCAGAUCCUUCAGUUUGAGUGACAUUUGCUUGAGCUGUCAUAGCUGCAAUCGAUGAUGGUGGUGGAGGAUUUCCCUGAUAUGCAAAGUUGUUCCUGUGAAAGCAUUCAAGAGCUAUGUGCCCCCCCUUGCCACAUAUCUGACAUAUUACAGAACCAGAAGGCUGUGAACCUCCACUCUCAGUUCUAUAGUAGCAGUUUGGUGCAGUGUGUCCCCUUCUCGAACAUAUCUGACAUUCAGGUGAUACCGAGUACUUAGAGUUGGUAUUCCCAUUCCAAUUGGACUUAGAAUUGCCAUGGCCAGCAGAUGAAUUAGUUGAGGUGAAACCAUUACUUACAGAUUCAUAUCCUGCAACACUCUUACCACUUCCAGAGUAACCAUUAUUCCCAGAGUAACCAUUAUUCCCAUUUCUGUUAUGAAACCCUGAUGCAAACCUGGAAUUGUGAUUCCCACCUCCAAACUUUCUAUUAUUAAAAUUUCCUCUCUGUGAAGACUGAAAACCUCUACCACCAUUACCAUUUCCAAUUCCUGAAAAACCAUUUCCUCCCUGAAAAUUACUACCAAACUGAUCAUUAAAACCAUUUCCUCUCUGAAAGUUGUUACCGAAUGUAGCAUUGCUGAAACUACCCUGAGACCUCUGAGAAUUGGAACUCUCACCAUGUUCAUACCCUUGAAAGCCUUGUAAUCCUUCACCUUGAACAACCAUAGCAGACAUAGAACUAGAUAAAGAAUGCAUUCUAGAUUCAAUACUGCCUUCGGCUACAAGCAAUUGUGCUCGAAAAUCUUUGAUAGACAUAGGAGAAUCUCUUGCCAAUAUGACUGUCUUAAUCAUCUCAAAGUCAGCAGGCAAACCAGAAAGAACAACAAUGAUGAAAUCAUUAUCAGUAACCUUUUCUCCUGCAGAUACUAAUUGAUCCCUUAUCCUCUUUAGUCUCAUUAAGAAUUUAUCAACCGAAUCACCACCUUUCUGAGCAGUAUGCAAUUCAGUUUUAAGUUGAUUCACACGAACCAUUGAGACAGAGGCAAAUCUUUCUUGCAAACAUUUUCAAGCUUCAUAAGAUGUUUUACACCCAAUCACAUGUUCCAUAGCAUCAUCCGAAAGAGUUGCAAUUAGCAAACUUAACAAAGCUAGAUCCUUUUUCACCCAAUCUUUGUAAGCAGCAUUAAUUUCAUUUGUGACCCCAGAUGCUGUAGCAAUCACAUACUUAGGUGGACAUGGUGCUUUUCCAGUAAAGAAGUCAAACAAAUCAUACCCCUCAACACAGAUGAAAAUUGAUAACUCCAUUUCACAAAAUUAUCAUCUUGCAACUUUACUGUCAACAUCCCUAACAGAUUCUCAAUUCUAACAUUAGAUUCAGCCAUCUUCACACACUAAAGAUUAUCACAAAUACAACCCAAGAUUUCAAACAACAAGAUAUAGAACCACAUAUAUCAAGAAAUACACCUCUCUUCGGCAAUCGGCCUUUAAUGAAGAAAGAGAACAAAAUUGCACAAGAACUACACUCCGGCAAUCGGCCUUAUGGAGUUUACACCGAGAUAAUGGCUUCGGCCUUAUAUCUCAAAUCAAGAUUGCAGAAAGAUGGCAUCGGCCUUUUUUUACUUUCGCACAAAAAAUCAACAAACCCAGAAGAAAAAACCUUGAGACAUUUUCACAAACAGAUAGAGUGCAGAAAACAUACUGUACUUGCAAGAAAUACCAAGCCUCCGACUGAACGCACAACACUGAUUAAACUACACGAAGUCACCAAGAAAGAUCUCCGGCAACACCACCAUGAGCGGAAGACGAUAGCCACGAAGGAACGUACACGGCGAUGAUACCAUGUUAAUGUAUACAGAAAUCUUGAUCUGCAAUGAAUACUCAAACAAGAAAAGGAGAAGAAAGAAGAGUUCUAGAGAGAGAAUGAAUGUUUAGAGAAAGAAACUUUUGUAUUGAUCUGAAUUAAAGAUUACAGUAAUGCCAUAUCAUCUUAUAUAGUUUGCACGAUUUACAUCAGUAACUAUAUCAGUUAGUUAUAACACCUCUAACCAACAUAACCACCAAUAGUCUAUUAGCUAAGCUGAUGUGGCAUUGCCAGCUGUUACUACUGUCAACACAUAUGUCGGGGUUCCGUCAUGGUACUUGUCACCACAAGUGACUAUCAUUUUGGGGCAGUAAUUCUCAGCAUCAUUGGAACAAUUAUCACAAGAUUGGCAAGAUCCUGCCAUAUAUCCAAGACCGACAUGGUCUCCAACUUUGAAUUUCUCUACUUUGGUGCCUAUCUCAGUCACUACACCAACAAUCUCGUGCCUGCAUGCAUUUCCCGAUUAAAUUAAUUAAGUUCACUUUUGACAAAUGUAAUAGAUCGACUGUACGGUACUAGAUAUGUCUAUGUUACUAAUUAAUUAAUGGAGAGUAAAUUUAAAUAAAGUCAUUAAUUACUCAUAACAAAAUUUAGUGUAGAUGGAAUUUCCCCAUUCAUUCUUAAUCAUGUGAAGAUCUGUAUGGCAUAUCCCACAGUAUAAUACUUUGAACGUGAGGUCGUUCUUUCCUGUAUCCCUGCGACCAAAAUCAUGGUACUUUGAGUUAAAUUCAGUUGGCUCCUCUACUAGGACAUGAACAACUUAACUCAGAUGGAUAUUGAUUUAAAUUCAUUAAUUAAUUGACUUUCUGUUACAAAAAUAUAUAGUUUGGUAAGAUUUAGUUUCAUUUUAGCCUUUCAAAUAGGUAUAAUAAUUUUCAAAAUAUGCAUAAGUACAAGAUUUUAGGUGCAUUAAUUCAUGUUUAGAAGCACAUACAAUUUUGGAAUGUUUCAAAUUGUCAAAUACGCUAAAGUCCAAGUAGUAUGGGCUUGUAACCGAACGGGGCAUUAAAGCGGUUGAUGUUUUGAUGGAAUGUAAAUCAGGUGGGUAAAGGUGAUGCAAUCUGUUUCAUAUGCAGUGUGAAGUUGAUUGAGCACGCCUUAUGCCACUCGGGUUAGUAGAGCACCGCAACCUUAAUGUUUGGUUAGUAAAAAUUGUUAAAUACAUUUUUUUCUUGUAUUUUCGUUGUAUUUCCUAGGAACUAAAGCAUGUAAAUUGUAGAUGGAUGGAUGAAAGAAAAAUGAUAAAUGAAACACCAAUUAAUGGAGAAUGUAGAUGAUAAAAUGGAGAUAAUAACCUUCUGGAGAAUUUGAAGGGAGAGAGAACACCAGAUGAAUCUCUGGCAGCCCAUCCAAAUGCUUUCUUGGGGUGUUGUUCUGGAGAUUCCCCCAUUUUCUCUCUUAUCUGCUUUCUUUUUUUAGUUAAAAGACAUAGGUUUAAAGAGUGCUAGAUAUGUCUGUGUACACGCAAAGACAUAAAUAUAUAGCUAAUUAUGUGUGGUGGAGGGGUUUGAUUUUGGGAGAUGGAUUGUCUGCCCUUCCCAUCCCCUACUAUUUCUGUGGUCACGGUUAAGCCACGUCAACAUUUUAUAUUGAUACCACAAAAAUAUGAGGGGAUGAGAAGGGUAUGAGAUGGGAAGGGCGAACAAUCCAUCUCCUUGAUUUUGAGGGGUUGGAUUUAUUAGCUGGGAAAAGUAGGUAUAUAUACCAAAUCAAGUCUUAAAAGCUUAUUAGAUCAUUUCCUCUGCAGUAAAAGGUUGCAAAAAUAAUUUUGCUUACUUUUCACAUGGAAAAUGGGCGCCACGCAUGGUCGGUAUGUAUAUUUUUUGCUAUUUUUCUUUAAGAAUGGAGAGAGUUUAAAACUAUUACAAUUAUUUAAUAAAUGAAAUAGUUUUAAAUCAAAACUAGAAAUUCAACAUUCUUUCUACUAAGAUAUUGGAAUUUGGACCACAUGCAUGCAUGGUCAGUAUAAUCACAUUUCGUAUCAUGCCGUUCACUCAUUUUGUUGGUCUCAAUCGACGGUCGAAAGGAUGCUGCAUUGCCAUUGCAUGCAAUUGUCCGCAGGAUUUCAUAUAAUUGAGGUCAGAAAAGGAAGAGUGAAGGGUCCAUAUCUAUUCGAGUUCACCUACAAAGACAAGAAGCUCAGUAAUAUUUCUAGCAUGGCCGUUUUAUACCUUUUUUCUCACGUUCCCAUGAGCAAAGGGCCCUCACAUUGAUUAGUAAUUUUCGUGGCCUGCUGCCUUCGGUUGGUGGCUCACAGCUAUUUUUGUACCCGUUGCAUGAUUCAUCAAACUCGUGUUGCAUUUUCGUAUUUAUGGUCUCUGACCCCGACCAUGGAUUCGCAGCCCAAAACGCAAACAAAUCAGCAGCAACAGCUGCCAUGGGAGACGCCAUAGUGCUCUACGCAGCAACAGCCGCCAUGGGAGACGCCAUAGUGCUCUGCGCGUAAAGACUCUUGAGCAAUAUCUCUUUCUUGCGCUACCUCUUUCUUCUCUUCCAUCAUUUUGGACAAUCUUUUCAUAUACAUUGUUCUGAAGCUUUUCUAUUUGCAUCAAUAAACCUAUUAAAUCUCUGGAUUCCAAGUCUUGACAGACACAUCCACCGCAAAGAGCCAGGCUUUUAUACUUUUGGGCAUAAGAUGCCAACAGAUUCCAUAACUUGGAAGUUUAAUAAUACAUAAUUAUAGAUUUCAUAUUUAUAGAUUUGUAAAAUACUAUACUUCUCAGUGUGUUUACUAAAUAUUUGCAAAAAUUGGUGUUUUGUUUAAUGAAUUUUUAGGAUGUGCUCUGUACACAACAUGCACAUGAUAUGCUCAAAGAUUUGAGCUCAAAACCAAAAGCCCAGAGCUCAAAGCUCUCUCUUCCAAAUAAAAAAAAUGACGUCAUCACCUGUGAGUUUGUACAAUUUAUAUGUGAGUAUUUUCAUCAUUUCAAUUUUGUGCAUGGUGUGCAUGGUUUGUGCAUAUUUGAUUUGUCCUAUUUCAGUCAUAAGAUUAAGAAAAUUGAUCAUUUUUGAUAAUUUCCUAAUUUAUUGAUAGACUGAACACAUGUCCCACGUAGGACAGUUGAAAGACUUAUUAUCAGUGUGAUGAGUUGAGUUACUCUUGCAUUAUCAAUAAUUAGUUACAUAGAAUAAAACCUUAUGACAUUGGAGCAAGUUAUCUAAAUACAAAAAAAAAAAAAAAAAAAAAAAAAAAAAAAAUUAAAAUGAUGCAUUUUUAUCAUGAAGACAACAUUUAUAAUUAUUCAGAAUAUUUGAAUAAUUAUGUGGACUAUUGAUCAGUCUCCGAGUAAAAUGAAUAACAAAUUUUCGAUUCCCUUCGAACCCUAAAAGGGAAUUCUCCUCAGAGUAGCAACUUUCGCUUGUGCCUUCCUCAUGAACAUGGUUUUGCUCGUCUUCGAUCCUCAAUCACAAAUUGACUGCUGCAGUCGUUAUCGGUGGAUCGUCAAGGCCAACAACAUGUUAUUAGUAGCUUAAACUCCAUCUCAUAAGUCAUAAUAUACGGGGAGUAAAAAACAUGUAGCAAAAUUCUGGAGCUGACACGUAAACUUUUUUCCAAAGAACACAAGAAUGCCUUCAUUAAAUUGACAUGUCUCACAUUUAAUCCAUACGCAGUUUAGCAUUCUUGAAGACCUGAGCAUCUGGCUACAACCUAAUCAAACUCUCUAGCCCAUCGCAAAAAAAUAAAAAAAUAAAAAAUGUCAAAGACAGUAAAGAUAGGAUUAAUUAUUAGAUCUUAUCUUUAAUACUCUCCUAAUUGAAAAAAAUUGUUGGAACUAAAUUCGCGCACCAACGUAGGAGGUGGAGGUGCACAAAUCUAAGUAACUUGUAUAAGAACAAAUACCCGCGAGCUAGCCAAAGACCGGGAGGGGGGUUGUGUCGGUCUAAGACUCUCUGAAUGUCAAGUUAUAAGCAACAUAAGACUCAAGUAGUAGGUAAGAGAAUAAGCAUGUGAUAAUUGCGUUACUAGAGAUGAUAUAUUUAUACCAGUCAAGUAUGAGACAUUUUCGGAUGGUAGAAUCCUUAUUAAACUAGGAAAUCCCAAAUGAUAUCUAGGAAGUAGAUAUUGCAUCUCUUAAUAGUGUUACUUGCAGCGCACACCAAUCCUUAGAUUGUGAGGACUCUAAGAUUAUAAGAAAUCUGUUGAUUCCUUACCGAAUUAGGUUUUUGUAUCUUCCAGAAAAAGCAUGGUCAAUCUCCGCCAUUUGAUUUAGGAACAAGAUGAUGGUGGCAUUGCUGCUCCUAUUUUAGCUCCGCAAAAGAGGCUAUUGAGUCUAGGAUUAGAUUUCUGAGGUAUGCGUAUUCUAAAGUCAUUCAGUGAUGCAAAUGGGUGGCCCUUUGCAUCACCGAGUGAAUUCCGCUUUCAGACACACGAAUCUCUGAGCAAGACUCUUCAAUUUUGAUGGUGAGAUUUCUUGGCAGCACCUCUUUAAAUAGCCUUGGCUCUAUUUUUCCAAACCCUUUCUCCUAAGUUCUCAACUUCGCCAUAGAUACUCUUUAUUUCUUUCAUGCUUUAACUUCUAAACCCAAUUUCCGCUUGAAACCUUCCAUGAUUAGGAUUUGUAACCAAGAAAUUUGUCGCAUCCAUAUUCACUCUUAUCAAGAAAAUUCAAAAUUUGGAUAGCCAUAAUCUUUCAACAACUAACCUUGCCUCCUUUAAUGGGUUUGCUUUGCUCCAUAACUGUUGGCAACAUUUUCUUCAGUCUUUAUAUACAGGUUCAACAAGAGGAGACUGUUGAGAUUCUUUAAUGGGUUUUUCUUCAUUGGAGCCCUCAGAUUGAACCUCAUCAGAGUGGAUGAUCCUGGCCAAGUCGACCUUCUUAUCAUCUUUAGGAAUAAUUCUGUGCUAGGGGUAAAUGCAUGUCUCACCCAGAGAAUUGUACUUUUUUGCACUAUUCAAGGGAGUUUGGUGAUAAACAUAGGCUUACGAAUUUAUGAGAAUUGUAACUUUAUUCAAGUUGUUGAUCAUGUUAGAAUAAAGUGCUAGAGCUUUUCAUCCUUUGCAUCCUAAUCAUAGAAUAAUAUUUUAAUCUAACAAACCUUUCCAAAGUAUUCUAGCUUUAGAGUAAUUGAGUAAUAGAGUAAAACACGAACAAACUUGUAGACCCGGGAUAGAGCUCGAAGUCCCCCUAGGUAACAUUGAUUCGAAAAAUAUUACCUCCCAAACUUGGACCUUGUAAAGAUUUUCACUAUAGUAAUCGGAGUACCACCUUACUUUUAAUCGAGUUUAUGUCCAUGAAAAACUUUUUACUCUGUACUUCCAACAUUGCAAUGGUCAGAUUAAAGAUGAGAAAGCGAAAUAACUUCAUCCGAAAUGUCCUCUGGCACAUUGACUUUGAUGUCUUUCUUUCUUCAAGUGGUGUGUAGUUCAUUUGUUCACCUUGCGCAUUCCGGGUUUGAGGAUUUUAAAGAUUGCACCGAGAAGGGGCUUUCUUCCCAGUUCAAAUUGCAAGUUUGUCCUUAGGGAAUCUUAGUCGAAAGUUCGUUAGGGACUUGGUCGCUUCCAUGUGAUCGAAAACACCUUUGGAAUCUUUUUUGUCAGACCCAUGCGUCAUACUUGAGUAUUUUUUAUCAUAGUACACUCAGCUGACUUGGGUAGGGCAUUUCCGUAUAUAAGAGCUUCUUUGGAAUAAAAUUCCUCUUGAGGAUUUCCUAGUCUAGAUGCCUUAUUCGGACUUGCUUAAACACAUGAUUUUGUAGAACGUACUCGACUUAGUACGCUAGUUCGAGAUGGAAGUGAUCGUACUCAAAGUCGGAACUUAUAGUCACCCUUCAGAUUAUUUCUGGAUUGCCCUUUCAAUCAUUCCCUCGAAUUACAUAGAAUCUAGGUUUGAAUGUUAUAACCCACAAUCCUAUUCCCCUAUUUUUUCUAUAGUUGUCCUGCAAGAUUGAUGCCCUAUUGCAUAAAAGUUCAUGCCCCAAUUAAAGUGCUACGUUCUUCUACGUGUCAAUGGUUCAUGGGAGUGUACCUUUGACAUUUGUCGCAAGUCUGGGCAUACUCUAUGGUGUAUUGUCGCAUGGUGGGCCAAUAGUACCUGCCUGUCAGUGCCUUCUGUGCGAGCGAUCUUCUUAUGGUGUGGUUACUGCAUACACCGGAGUGUCAUUGAGAAUUUGCAAAUCCAUCUCCGGAGUAAUGCGCAAUGGUAUGAGGUCUGGAGUAGGAACUUUGGUAAAGCUUUCCACAGAUGAUGGUGUAUCUUGAGGCCUAUUAGACCAAUUUCUGGCCAAAUGGCGAUCUUUAAGUAGCUUCCCAUCUUGAAUGUAGUCAGUGUAAAAAGCAUCACCAAAAUCUAAGCAAGCAUGUCUAUAUGUAAGACAUAAGUCAAAAUGCAUGUAAGUUAAGAUGAGUUUUGCAAAAUAGGUGUGAUCAAUAUUCGAACUGAAAAUUUGAGUAACAACUAUUCUAAUUCCACUAAAUCAACCUAAGACUGAUGUAAAUUGUGCAGUGCCACAAUUGGCAUAAGGAAAUACAAUUUAAAAUGAAAAGGAAGAUAUCAUAAGGAACAUGUUCAAUUGUGUCCAACAACUGCAAAACUAUAAUAAAAAAGAUAAACAAAUUCUGGUGUGUUCUUUGUGAUCUUGUUGAAAAGCUUCCAUCAUCUUUAAAAUUGUUGACGGUCUAAGUAGAGAUAUAUGAUUGAAAGGAACGACACAAUGUUGACAAAAAAGAAAAACAAAAAUGCGCCUCAAUGCACCACCCAACUUCUCUCAAACCCAAAUUAGCAGCACUAGCCAUCAAACUUUUGCCCACAACCACGUGAUCUAAAACGUUGACGGGCAUCAGUCAUCUGCACACUGAAGCGGGCCACCCUCAUCAACCACCCAGAAAAGCCCAAAACAAAGGCAUGGCCGACCCAAACGCACAAACCCAAGCCCUAACCAUUUUUAAAUUUUAGAAAAGAUCGCAAUUCCGUAAAUAAAUUCAAAUCCCAAAUCGAACUUGCACUGUAACCAAGUCACAAUGCCACCCAUAUCCAACAAAAAAAAUACUUUGGAAGUUCAAUCUUUAGACCACAUGCAUAGGAUUGAAGAGAAAAGAACACAUUUGACGAACAAAAACAUGCCCACAGGUAAAAACAUGCCCUUCAAUCUAAUCAAACAAGGACCAUACGAGUCUAUAACCUAACACUGAUGCGAAGCAUAAUGCACACACAAAAAAUGUAAAGGAUGCAAUCAAUAAACCAAUUCUCAAAAGCACGAACAGAUAAACCACUGAAUAAUCAGCAUUUCAUCUCAACAAAGAUGCCAAUUUUGAGUUCACAGACUACCAACCCAGCCAAAACAAAAACCCAGUUCUGUAAAACCACCAAACAGAAAAAAGCUCGUUCAUUUUCCACCAAAGAAGCCGACCCAGAAACCAAAACCCCACGAAUAAAAAGCCUUUUAGCUCAAAUCAAAGAUCACUAGAAGUAAACCACUGCAUGCCACUCAAAAUAUACAAAGACGAAAACGAAAAACAAAAACAACUUAUUUGUUGGAAAUGAAAAUUAAAAAAUAACCGUGACAGAACCUUAAAUUGAAUGAAUAGGCCAAGCAAAUUCUCUUUCCUCGAUUCGGUCAAAGACAUGGAAAACGCACAGGGUAGCAGAACCGAACCAGGGAGAAUAAAAUAACAACAGGCAAGUCUCUAAAGCAGCAAAGAAAGAGAACACAAUAACACUCUUUAAAUACCUCAAUUCAUUAAAAACCCACAUAAACUUGGCCUUGAACUUAAACGAACAGCAAAAAGUAGAUUAUACUACCUUGUAUCUUGGUGGGAAUCUAGGAUAAGAUAUUCAAUCCUCCUAAGAUUAUGAUUACUUGCCUAAUCCCAAAGAUAUCCUAAUUGACUUGAACUAGAUGUUUCUCACUUAGGAGACAAGUAAUACAGGUACCAGACCUAAAGCUAAAUUGGAUCUUCAGACUAAGGCUAAGCCUGAUCGUUUGACAGUCAUGAGAAACGAGUAUUCCAGUUCUUCUUGCCACCUGAGAUGCCACGUGCCAGGGACAUAGAAAUCAUGCUCCCACAACAUAUUUGAGGAUCAAUUAAACUAAUUUUGAUACUCCUUCCAAACUUAACCAUUCUUUAUUCGGAUCACUAUGUUAAUCCAUGUAAAAACCUAUUAUAUUUCAAUCGAAAUUCUACACAAGUAUGGUUAUACCUACACUAUGAAACAUACUUUAUGAUUCUACCUAAGUAUUAUUGUAACUGCUCUAUAUUUCAAACAUAUAAUAUACCUAAACUAAUGUACCUAAUAAGCAAAUAUUGUACCAACACUAUGGCACCAAGAUUAAUGAAUGUACCUACACUAUGGCACUUAGACUAAUAAAUGUACCCACACUACGGCCCCAAGACUAAUGAAUAUUAUAUAUCUAUGUUGAUGCACAAAACUGGAGGGGUCUUGGAACAACGUAAAUCCGACCGUGAAUCUGCAAGAAAGUAAAGAACACAAGAUGUAUCGUGGUUCACCCCAAUGUUUGGGCUACGUCCACACUAAUGUUGAUAUUGUUUCACUCUGAAUGGUGAAUAUACAAGAAGGCUAGAGGCAGUGUGCUCUCUAGCCUAUUUUCUCUCUUCCCAUGGCCUAAAUCUUGACCUCUCUAGUGAGGAGAGUGAGGAGUCCUUUUAUAAAAUAAUGGUUCCUCACUUAUUACAUAUUUGCCCCUUCAUUUAUUACAUAAUUACAUUUGAGUCCUCCGAGUAUUUAUACGAUGUAUAAAUACGGAGGCCCUAAAUAUGGUACAAACAGUAGUCCCCCAAGUCUUCAGUCAAGAUAGUCUUUUGGCUGGAGACUUGAAAUUCAGUCCAUGUGUGGGCCGAAGUAACUAGAUGUCGUCUAGAACUGAUACUCGAUAUGAGGCGGUGCUCAAUGAUGCUCAACUAGAAAUAACACAUGUUGCAAGGCUGCUCGGCUUAUGGCUUAUGUUGCCUUGGUUGGCUCGGCUUGUGGCGUUGAAGGUGAGGGAGUCCCUUUUAUAAAAUAAAGGCUCACUCCUCAAUACAUAAGUGAUGGGUUAGGAGUGAUGCUCGUGGCAAGGCGGUUGCUCAGUUGGCGGUGAUGCUCUUUAAUGAUGGUGAGGAAGUCUCUUUUAUAGAAUAAGGGCUCUCUCCUCAAUACAUAAGUGAUGGGUUAGGAGUGAUGCUCACGGCGAGACGGUUGCUCAGCAGGCGGCGAUGCUCUCUAAUGAUGGUGAGGGAGUCCCUUUUAUAGAAUAAGGGCUCGCUCCUCAAUACAUAAGUGAUGGGUUAUGAGUGAUGCUCGCGGCGAGGCGGUUGCUCAGCAGGCGGCGAUGCUCUCUAAUGAUGGUGAGGGAGUUCUUUUUAUAGAAUAAGGGCUCGCUUCAUGGGCUAAGAGUUUCUCUCUAAUGAAGGUGAUGGAGUUCCUUUUAUAACAUAAGCAUUCGCUGCUCAAUACAUGAAUAAUGGGUGCUCUCUAAUGAAAGUGAGGGAGUCCCUUUUAUAGAAUAAGGGUUCGCUUCCCAGUACAUAAAUAAUGGGCUAAGUCCCCCAAGUAUUUUUCAUGAGGCCCAGUUACAGAAGCCCGAUAUAUGGUACAUAAUGUAGUCCCCCAAGUCUUUAGUCAAUAGAGUCUGUUGGCUGGAGACUUCAAAUUCAAUUCAUGUAUGGGCCGAAGUGGCGGUUGUUCGAAGGCGGUCUUUGUAUACCAUGCACUAAAGCUUUGUAGGUGAAGCUUUGAAAGUGAAGCUUUGAAGCUGGAACUUUUGUAAAUGAAGCUUUUGAAGUCGGAGCUUUGUAAAUGAAGCUUUCGAAGCUGAUUGUCAUGAGUGAUGCUUAUGAAUGUUUAUGUUGAUUGACAUGAGUGAUGCUCAUGGAUGUUGACAUGAGUGAUGCUUAUGAAUGUUUAUGUAUGAUUGACAUGAAUGAUACUCAUGAAUGUUUUAUGUAUGAUUGAGUGAUGCUCAUGUAUAAUUUUGGAGUACUGGACGUACUUUUGAUCACCUAGUUGGUGAUAAUAGCGGCAGGCUGCCGAAUAAUUUUGGAGUACUGGACGUACUUUUGAUCACCUGGUUGGUGAUAAUAAUGGUAGGCUACCGAAUAAUUUUGGAGUACUAGACGUACUUUUGAUCACCUGGUUGGUGAUAAUAGCGGCAGGCUGCCGAAUAAUUUUGGAGUAUUGGACGUACUUUUGAUCACCUGGUUGGUGAUAAUAGAGGGUGAACCUUAAGUUGAGGGAUGGAUGUUGGAGUUUGAAGCCAUAGGGCCUGGCUUUUUUCGGCAUAUGGGCCUUCGACCUCCACAUAACACUCCAGCCUACUAUUAUGGGCUUGCCGACAUUUUUUUUAUUUUUAUUUUUAUUUUUUUAUUACCCUCUGGUGGGGUUAUACAGGUGUCUUCAAAAGAUAAGAGAAGUGAAUCACAUCAUUCAAAAAAAAAAAAAAAAACUGAUGGGAGUUGGCAACAGCGAGAUUUCCUUUGUGAGAGUGGUUGACAGUUGCAUGUUGUUGGUGCGUACUGUGCCUACUGUGUACUGGAGAGUUUUUUCUACCUUUCCUUUUCUCUUUCCACCACACCUCUGUCUCUGUCUCUGUCUUUGCGCUGUUGUCAUGCAUGUGCACCCAAUUAAUCAUUAAUCUCUUCUUUACUGUUUGUCCCCUACCACUUGCGAUCUUACUCAGUCAAAUCCCAAUCUUUCAGAUUUUAUUCUCUUCUCUACUGUAAAUCCACUUCCUUCUCGGUUUUUCUCAUCUUCAGACAUCCUUUUUU